CCUACGGGGCGCUGCAGUGGGGAAUAUUGCACAAUGGGCGCAAGCCUGAUGCAGCCAUGCCGCGUGUGUGAAGAAGGCCUUCGGGUUGUAAAGCACUUUCAGCGGGGAGGAAGGCGUUAAGGUUAAUAACCUUGGCGAUUGACGUUACCCGCAGAAGAAGCACCGGCUAACUCCGUGCCAGCAGCCGCGGUAAUACGGAGGGUGCAAGCGUUAAUCGGAAUUACUGGGCGUAAAGCGCACGCAGGCGGUCUGUCAAGUCGAAUGUGAAAUCCCCGGGCUCAACCUGGGAACGGCAUUCGAAACUGGCAGGCUAGAGUCUUGUAGAGGGGGGUAGAAUUCCAGGUGUAGCGGUGAAAUGCGUAGAGAUCUGGAGGAAUACCGGUGGCGAAGGCGGCCCCCUGGACAAAGACUGACGCUCAGGUGCGAAAGCGUGGGGAGCAAACAGGAUUAGAUACCCGGGUAGUC
rnacentral:rRNA from 1 species